rnacentral:tRNA from 1 species
ACUAUUUUGGCAGAAAAGUGUCAUGAAUUUAGAAUUCAUUAAUGUAAGGAUUAUUUUUACAGGUAGUA